UCUUGAAUUGCUAUCACGUGGAGGUGUGAGUACUGGAUUGGAAAGUUGAGAACUCUGGAAACUGACUUUCAGGAAGAUUUGGCUUCCUCUAGGACAGAGCUGAGUAGGAAGUCAGUCCUUCCCUAGGGUGGAGCCAGAGAGGGCAGGCUCAGAGGCUAAAGGGAUAAAUAACCGCUUAACUCGAAUAAGAGGACACAAAAGUGAAGAGCCAGAUGCAAACCUGCUUUCCAGGUGAAGACAGUAGAGAACCAUGAAAAUUCUCAUCUCUGUCUUGCUGGGAGCCCUGUUAUUUGUGGAGUCAGCUCACUGCCUGCAGUGUCAUGCGUGUACUGUGGUCAACCAUGCUGGCGUCUGUCAGACUAAGACGUGCUCACAUGGGGAAUCUACCUGCUUCAAGGUUCUGUUAACACACUCUGCCUCUAGAGUGAAAUCCUAUGUCAAGGACUGUACCACUUCCUGUAAAGAUGUUAAAAGCUCACUUGCGAUGCUUCAAAUCCAAGGAUUUAGUGUGCAUGUGAACUGUUGUGACACUGAUCUGUGUAAUGGGGUGGAUGGGGUCAGGAGCAACCUCUGGGCCCUGGCAGGGGCACUCCUCCUCAGCCUGGGACCUGCCCUUCUCUGGUUUGGGCUCUGAGAAACUUCCUUCCUCACCAGCCUCUUCUCACUAAGCCUUCCUUCUGAUACCAAGCCCAUGAAACUGGAGCUCCCGUGCCGGUCCCACCUCAGCCCAGCCUUCAGAUUGUGAACUUUGACAUAUUUCCCAAGCCCUGGCAUCCCCAAGGAAUAGACAGGAAGCCUCUAUGUCUCUUCCCCGCUGACCCUUCUUUUCUUCCUUAUCUUUUUUGGAGGAUUCCUCCUUGGUUCCCAGCCAGUCCGUUUCUCCCUUGUUCUAACUAUGUCCCUAGGAAAGAUUUUCUUCCUUCCUUCUUUUUGCUUCAGUAUUACAGAUCUAAGGUUCCCUGGGGAGGGUUAAUUGUUAAGUUUUCUUUGAGGAGAGAAAAGGACCCUGAGUCCCAGCAAACAAGGGAGAUAAGGUGAGCUCAGGCAUCUGGGAACUGGACAGAAGACGGAAGAGAAAAAUGAAAUGACUUUGGAGACCAAAAAGUGGGACUUUAUUUUGGCAACUUGGGGAAGGAAAUUUUGCCUGGCCUCGAGGUAGGAACCAGAGGCACCAGAGAGAGAAGACAGAAUCUUAGGACACUAGAGAGAGAAGAGCUUGGGGUUGGGAAAGGAAUGGAUGCAGGGGGCUGAACAGAAACCUCUGGGGCAGACAUUUCUCUGAGCUGAACAUAGCUGAGCUCUGUCCCUGGUAUGUCUUAACCUCCCUAGCAAUUGCAUCAUAAAAUAUAAAUAAACUUAUGAAUAAAUGUAUGUCCUGAGGGUAU
rnacentral:lncRNA from 1 species